CGCGAAGAACCUUACCUGGGCUAGAAUGUGAGGGAAGUUAUCAGAAAUGGUAACGCCAGCAAUGGCCCGAAACAAGGUGCUGCAUGGCUGUCGUCAGCUCGUGUCGUGGGAUGUUGGGUUAAGUCCCGCAACGAGCGCAACCCCUAUGUUUAGUUACCAGCACGUUAAGGUGGGGACUCUAGACAGACUGCCUGCGCAAGCAGAGAGGAAGGAGGGGAUGACGUCAAGUCAUCAUGGCCCUUACGCCCAGGGCUACACACGUGCUACAAUGGCUGGUACAAGGGGUUGCGAGGUAGUAAUACUGAGCCAAUCUCAAAAAGCCAGUCACAGUUCGGAUUGGGGGCUGCAACUCGCCCCUAUGAAGCUGGAAUCGCUAGUAAUCGCAAAUCAGCAAUGUUGCGGUGAAUACGUUCCCGGGCCUUGUACACACCG
rnacentral:rRNA from 1 species